CAGCUCUAAAGGGGGACAGAAAGAAUUCUAUUAUUGUAACCAUUACUUUAGGGUUCAUGCUUCAUGUGAUGUCAAUUUAUUGGUGGUAUAGAAAUGAUGAUCUUCUAUAUCCAUUGGUCUUACUUCCUCCGAGCACAAUACCUCCUUUCUGGCAUGCUUUAUUUAUCAUCGUGGUAAAUGAUGCUAUGGUGCGGCAGGUUGCAAUGGCCUUCAAAUGUGUACUUUUGAUGCAUUACAAGAAUAGUAGAGGGCACAAUUACCGUAAGCAGGGUCAAAUGCUAACCUUGGUCGAGUAUUUUUUGUUAUUGUACCGUUCCUUGUUGCCAGCACCUGUCUGGUAUAGGUUCUUCUUAAACAAAGAGUAUGGAAGCUUUUUUUCUUCAUUAAUUACAGGAUUGUACUUAACUUUCAAGCUUACAUCGGCCUUGGGAAAGGUUCAAUUGUUCUUUACUGCAUUGAGGGCUCUAUCAUGUAAAGAAAUGAACCAUGUUUCUUACGCCACAUCCGAACAGGUCAAUGCUGCUGGAGAUCUCUGUGCUAUUUGCCAGGAGAAGAUGCAUGCGCCAAUUUUGCUGCGUUGUAAACACAUAUUCUGUGAGGAAUGUGUAUCAGAAUGGUUUGAGCGAGAAAGGACAUGUCCAUUGUGCAGGGCAUUGGUCAAACCUGCAGAUAUCAGGUCAUACAGUGAUGGUUCAACGAGUUUGUUUUUCCAGUUAUUCUAAGAUCUGCUGCUUGCUGAAAACCCAGGACCACUUCUACUUGCAAAACAAAGGUCACUUUUGCUUUUCCAUUUCAUAUGUUCUCUCCAUCAAGUAUAGUUUAUAUUUGUAUCCAGGUGGAAUCAUAUGCCUAUUUACUGUAAUUUGUAAUCCAUUGAUGAUAUAGCCCUUUCUUCCCAUUUGAUAUGUU
rnacentral:misc_RNA from 1 species